rnacentral:rRNA from 1 species
UGGAUCCAGACUUUGAUCAUGGCUCAGGACGAACGCUGGCGGCGUGCCUAACACAUGCAAGUCGAACGAAGCUUGAUUUAUGAUUUCUUCGGAGUGAAUAAUGAUAUGACUGAGUGGCGGACGGGUGAGUAACGCGUGAGCAACCUGCCCUUCGGAACGGGAUAGCGUCUGGAAACGGACGGUAAUACCGUAUAACGUAUUUUUACCGCAUGAUAGAAAUACCAAAACUGAGGUGCCGAAGGAUGGGCUCGCGUCUGAUUAGAUAGUUGGUGGGGUAACGGCCUACCAAGUCGACGAUCAGUAGCCGGACUGAGAGGUUGAACGGCCACAUUGGGACUGAGACACGGCCCAGACUCCUACGGGAGGCAGCAGUGGGGAAUAUUGCACAAUGGGGGAAACCCUGAUGCAGCAACGCCGCGUGAAGGAAGACGGUUUUCGGAUUGUAAACUUCUGUUCUUAGUGAAGAUAAUGACGGUAGCUAAGGAGCAAGCCACGGCUAACUACGUGCCAGCAGCCGCGGUAAUACGUAGGUGGCAAGCGUUGUCCGGAAUUACUGGGUGUAAAGGGAGCGUAGGCGGGAAGCCAAGUCAGCUGUGAAAACUACGGGCUUAACCUGUAGACUGCAGUUGAAACUGGUUUUCUUGAGUGAAGUAGAGGUUGGCGGAAUUCCGAGUGUAGCGGUGAAAUGCGUAGAUAUUCGGAGGAACACCGGUGGCGAAGGCGGCCAACUGGGCUUUAACUGACGCUGAGGCUCGAAAGUGUGGGGAGCAAACAGGAUUAGAUACCCUGGUAGUCCACACUGUAAACGAUGAUAACUAGGUGUGGGGGGUCUGACCCCUUCCGUGCCGCAGCUAACGCAAUAAGUUAUCCACCUGGGGAGUACGACCGCAAGGUUGCAACUCAAAUGAAUUGACGGA